GACGAACGCUGGCGGCGUGCUUAACACAUGCAAGUCGAACGGUGAAGCGCUUUCCUUUUUGGUUGGUGUGGAUGAGUGGCGAACGGGUGAGUAACACGUGAGUAACCUGCCCCCUUCUUCUGGAUAACCGCAUGAAAGUGUGGCUAAUACGGGAUAUUCUGCGCCUGCUGCAUGGUGGGUGUGGGAAAGAUUGUGCCUUUGGGUGUUUUCGGUGGGGGAUGGGCUCGCGGCCUAUCAGCUUGUUGGUGGGGUGAUGGCCUACCAAGGCGGUGACGGGUAGCCGGCCUGAGAGGGUGGACGGUCACACUGGGACUGAGACACGGCCCAGACUCCUACGGGAGGCAGCAGUGGGGAAUAUUGCACAAUGGGCGCAAGCCUGAUGCAGCGACGCCGCGUGAGGGAUGGAGGCCUUCGGGUUGUGAACCUCUUUCGCCAGUGAAGCAGGCCUGCUCCUUGUGGGUGGGUUGACGGUAGCUGGAUAAGAAGCGCCGGCUAACUACGUGCCAGCAGCCGCAGUAAAAC
rnacentral:rRNA from 1 species